CACCCAGGGCAGAGUCUGCUGGUCUGGGGCCAGCUAAUUUGUCUCCAUGGUUGAAAGGGCAAUCGUGCCUAAGGUUGAGAUCAGAGGAAAGCCUUCUGCUUAUGCAGCCUUGAGCUUGUGCCUGCCUCCGUGUGAAUCUAAGGAGAAAGCGGCUUAUCGUUUCCAAUCUGCAUCAGGGAGGCCACGCCGGGGAGCACUGAGCGCCCGGGCUCCGAGAAGGGCUUCCCGUGGGGAGAUUCGCCGACUGCAGAGCGCUCUAGCGAGCACCCUCCUGCGGAGGCCCCGGCACCCAUCAUUGACUGAGCACCUGCUAUGAGUCGGGCACCCUGUGAGGUACCAGGGACCCAGCAGUGAACAUGACAAAGCUCCCUGGCCCUUGCAGAGAUGACAUUCCAGCAGAGGGCCUGCCUUCCUCCAAGCGGCUACGGAUGCUCCAAAAGGGGGACCCCUGUGCACCCCUCAGGAAAGUAUGCUGAUGGUGCUAAGCCAGACUUGGGAACACCAUUCACCUCACUCAGAUUGGCUUAGGAGCUGGAAACGUGACCAAAUUCUGCCAAUAAGACAAGGAGGUGGUGUGCUGGAGGACCUCAGGAAAAAUGGUCUCAAAGGGGCUGGAGAAGAAGAUGCUUUCUGCACCUCUUCUGCUGGAUGACAUCCCAUCUGGGUGAGAUGCCUAGGUAGGAGGCAGCCAUCUUGCAUCCUAUAUGCAGAAAAUGCCAGAGAAAGAGGAUGGGAAGGCCCUGGGUCCUCUGUGAUGGCCAUCCUUGGGCACUGAAGCUGAGAACUCCAGAGCUGCCCCAUUGCAGGACUUACCCCUAUAUGGAAAUAUAAAUGUCUUCAUUGUUAAACUGUUUGAGUUUGUGCUUUCUAGUACUUUCAGCCAAAAGCAUCUCAAUGGAUACAGAUAUGAAACCCUCUGGCCAGCAGCCAGCAGCCACAAUCAACAGCUUUAUUGAUUGAUUCAUUCUGUGAAUGUUUACUGAGUGUCUUCUAUGUGUCAGGACAGUAGUUCUGGGCACUGG